rnacentral:rRNA from 1 species
AUUGAACGCUGGCGGCAGGCUUAACACAUGCAAGUCGAGCGGGGUGAUGGUGCUUGCACUAUCACUUAGCGGCGGACGGGUGAGUAAUGCUUAGGAAUCUGCCUAUUAGUGGGGGACAACAUCUCGAAAGGGAUGCUAAUACCGCAUACGUCCUACGGGAGAAAGCAGGGGAUCACUUGUGACCUUGCGCUAAUAGAUGAGCCUAAGUCGGAUUAGCUAGUUGGUGGGGUAAAGGCCUACCAAGGCGACGAUCUGUAGCGGGUCUGAGAGGAUGAUCCGCCACACUGGGACUGAGACACGGCCCAGACUCCUACGGGAGGCAGCAGUGGGGAAUAUUGGACAAUGGGGGGAACCCUGAUCCAGCCAUGCCGCGUGUGAGAAGAAGGCCUUAUGGUUGUAAAGCACUUUAAGCGAGGAGGAGGCUCUUUUGGUUAAUACCCAAGAUGAGUGGACGUUACUCGCAGAAUAAGCACCGGCUAACUCUGUGCCAGCAGCCGCCGUAAUAC